CGUUGCCUCCUGCAGACCUCCGGAGGCUCUGCUCCUGCCCAGGUGGUCCACACCCAGCCUCGCGCGGUCGGCUCACCGGCCACGGCCACGUCCGACCUCGUGUCCCUGGCACCGACCCAGGGUGUUCGAGCGGUUACCUCCGUGACAGCCUCAGCCGUGGUCACUACCAGCCUGACUCCAGUGCAGACUCCGACCCGGUCUUUGGUGACUCAGGUGUCCCAAGCCACAGGGGUGCAGCUGCCCGGGAAGGCCAUCACGCCUGCACACUUCCAGCUGCUCCGGCAGCAGCAGCAGCAGCCGCCACCGCCGCCCCCGCCCUCCCAGGUGCAGGUUCCGCAGAUCCAGGGCCAGGCCCCGUCGCCAGCACAGAUCAAGGCUGUCGGCAAGCUGACCCCGGUGAGUAUCUCGUAGGAAAUUGCACAGCCGCUGCACGAGGCCCCAUGUGUCAUUUGGUUGGAAGCACAGGUCUGCUGCUGUCCUUGUGGGAGGUGCUUGUACUGCCCCUAAAAACAGCUUUCCGCACGGUGGCACGUCCAUGGCCGUGGGGCCGGUCUGUGGACGGCGCUCUGGAGACGUCCUGCUUGCUGUCUCGUGCCCUGUGCCCAGGUUCCGGAGAAGUAGAAGGCCGCUUGGGCCCGUUCCCAGCCGGAGGCAAAACCAGUGGGAAGUUUCGCUGACAGUCUCAGAGACUAGGUGCUGAAUACUUGGUUUCUUCCUGCGCACUUCCUUCGCAGUGCUGAGUACUGAUAACCCUGAUUUUUGUCGCCCUGUGCACCGGCUGUGCAGCUGUGCACGUAAAUGCACUCCUUUUGAAAGGAAGUACUGUAUUCCUGCCAAAACGGAGCAGUGUUCUUGCUUGGCAUGGAAAGCGAGUGGAGAAACAUGUAAUAGAGACGAGACAGUAUUGUAGGACUGCAGCUAGUUGCCGGCCUGUCACAGUAAGUACCUGACCUCGGGCCUGCCCCUUCUCGGUUUCGGACGGGACAGGCAGGCACGCUGGAGGGCCGUGGAGCACGCGCAGGUCCUGAGCUGCGGCUUCACUGGUGCGGCCCCAGGACACGCCCCAGAGAGAGGAAACGCAACCAGCUAAACCGUUCAGCUCCUCAAUCGCUCCAGCCAUGUUUCAAGGGCACAGUGGGUGCGCGUGGCUGUGGCUAGCAUAUUGGACAGCCCAGAUCUAGA
rnacentral:lncRNA from 1 species